GGUUGUGGCUUAGUGGUAGAGCACUCGCCUGGCAUGUGUGAGGCCCUGGGUUCGAUCCUCAGCACCA
rnacentral:tRNA from 1 species